GCCUCUUUAGCUCAGUUGGUUACGGACGAAAACGAAGUUUUUGUCCGCGCAGGAGACACGACACUCUUAAUGUUGGGGUCCAGGGUUCGAGCCCCUGAGGGGGUA
rnacentral:tRNA from 2 species